rnacentral:rRNA from 1 species
ACUGAACGCUGGCGGCAUGCUUUACACAUGCAAGUCGAACGGUAACAGGCCGCAAGGUGCUGACGAGUGGCGAACGGGUGAGUAAUGCAUCGGAACGUGCCCAGUCGUGGGGGAUAACGCAGCGAAAGCUGCGCUAAUACCGCAUACGAUCUAUGGAUGAAAGCGGGGGACCGUAAGGCCUCGCGCGAUUGGAGCGGCCGAUGUCAGAUUGGGUAGUUGGUGGGGUAAAGGCUCACCAAGCCAACGAUCUGUAGCUGGUCUGAGAGGACGACCAGCCACACUGGGACUGAGACACGGCCCAGACUCCUACGGGAGGCAGCAGUGGGGAAUUUUGGACAAUGGGCGCAAGCCUGAUCCAGCAAUGCCGCGUGCAGGAAGAAGGCCUUCGGGUUGUAAACUGCUUUUGUACGGAACGAAACGGUCCUGGUUAAUACCUGGGGCUAAUGACGGUACCGUAAGAAUAAGCACCGGCUAACUACGUGCCAGCCGCCGCAGUAAGAC